UACAGAGGUCCCAAGCGUUGUUCGGAUUCACUGGGCGUAAAGGGUGCGUAGGUGGUGAGGUAAGUCUUAUGUGAAAGCUCGGAGCUUAACUCCGAAAUGGCAUAGGAAACUACCUUGCUGGAGGGUUGGAGGGGGGACUGGAAUACUUGGUGUAGCAGUGAAAUGCGUAGAUAUCAAGUGGAACACCAGUGGCGAAGGCGAGUCCCUGGACAACUCCUGACACUGAGGCACGAAAGCUAGGGGAGCAAACAGG
rnacentral:rRNA from 1 species